rnacentral:sRNA from 1 species
CCUGCCCCGCGUCGGGCCGGGCGCCACCUCCCCCCUGCCUCCCUCUCCGCUGUGGUCAUUUAGGAAAUCGUGAAUCAUGUGAAGAUGGGACUCUUGGUAUUUGUGCGCAAUCUGCUGCUAGCCCUCUGUCUCUUUCUGGUACUGGGAUUUUUGUAUUAUUCUGCGUGGAAGCUACACUUACUCCAGUGGGAGGAGGACUCCAAAGAUGGCCUGUUUCAAAGGUGUGUGCUCCUUGGAUGUUGGGUCAUCAUUUUUCUCUUUCAGGAGCAUGGAAGUUAAAAGAAAAAAUAAGGGGGAAUAUGAGAAGUCAACUGAC